rnacentral:rRNA from 1 species
CUACCAUGGCAGUCACGGGUAACGGAGAAUUAGGGUUCGAUUCCGGAGAGGGAGCCUGAGAAACGGCUACCACAUCUACGGAAGGCAGCAGGAGCGAAAAUUGCCCAAUCCUGACACGGGGAGGCAGUGACAAGAAAUAACAACUCUAGGUUAUUCUUAGAAGUGUAAUGAGGAUAAUUUACAACCCUUACCGAAAGCAAUUGGAGGGCAAGUCUGGUGCCAGCAGCCGCGGUAAUUCCAGCUCCAAUAGCGUAUAUUAAAGUUGUUGCAGUUAAAAAGCUCGUAGUUGAAGUUCUGGCUGCUCGGUCCUCGAGCUCUGUAGCCGAGGAAUCGACAGUCAUCCGCUUGCAAAUAUAGUUCGCCUUUAACCGGGUGGCUAUAUGAGUAAGCAUUUUACCUUGAGAAAAACAGAGUGUUCCAGGCAGGUUUGUCCGGAAUGCAUUAGCAUGGAAUAAUAGAAUAUGACUGAAGUCUAUUUAUUGGUUUAAGGCUUUAGUAAUGAUUAAUAGGAACAGUCGGGGGCAUUGGUACUUGUCAGUCAGAGGUGAAAUUCUAGGAUUUGACAAAGACUAACAAAUGCGAAAGCAUUUGCCAAGGAUGUUUUCAUUAAUCAAGAACGAAAGUUAGGGGAUC